rnacentral:rRNA from 1 species
GGUUAAGCGACUAAGCGUACACGGUGGAUGCCCUGGCAGUCAGAGGCGAUGAAGGACGUGCUAAUCUGCGAUAAGCGCCGGUAAGGUGAUAUGAACCGUUAUAACCGGCGAUUUCCGAAUGGGGAAACCCAGUGUGACUCGUCACACUAUCAUUAACUGAAUCCAUAGGUUAAUGAGGCGAACCGGGGGAACUGAAACAUCUAAGUACCCCGAGGAAAAGAAAUCAACCGAGAUUCCCCCAGUAGCGGCGAGCGAACGGGGAGGAGCCCAGAGCCUGAAUCAGCAUGUGUGUUAGUGGAAGCGUCUGGAAAGGCGCGCGAUACAGGGUGACAGCCCCGUACACAAAAGCGCAUGUGCUGUGAGCUCGAUGAGUAGGGCGGGACACGUGGUAUCCUGUCUGAAUAUGGGGGGACCAUCCUCCAAGGCUAAAUACUCCUGACUGACCGAUAGUGAACCAGUACCGUGAGGGAAAGGCGAAAAGAACCCCGGCGAGGGGAGUGAAAAAGAACCUGAAACCGUGUACGUACAAGCAGUGGGAGCACAGGUUUACCUGUGUGACUGCGUACCUUUGUAUAAUGGGUCAGCGACUUAUAUUCUGUAGCAAGGUUAACCGAAUAGGGGAGCCGGAGGGAAACCGAGUCUUAACCGGGCGUUAAGUUGCAGGGUAUAGACCCGAAACCCGGUGAUCUAGCCAUGGGCAGGUUGAAGGUUGGGUAACACUAACUGGAGGACCGAACCGACUAAUGUUGAAAAAUUAGCGGAUGACCUGUGGCUGGGGGUGAAAGGCCAAUCAAACCGGGAGAUAGCUGGUUCUCCCCGAAAGCUAUUUAGGUAGCGCCUCGUGAAUUCAUCUCCGGGGGUAGAGCACUGUUUCGGCUAGGGGGCCAUCCCGGCUUACCAACCCGAUGCAAACUGCGAAUACCGGAGAAUGUUAUCACGGGAGACACACGGCGGGUGCUAACGUCCGUCGUGAAGAGGGAAACAACCCAGACCGCCAGCUAAGGUCCCAAAGUCAUGGUUAAGUGGGAAACGAUGUGGGAAGGCCCAGACAGCCAGGAUGUUGGCUUAGAAGCAGCCAUCAUUUAAAGAAAGCGUAAUAGCUCACUGGUCGAGUCGGCCUGCGCGGAAGAUGUAACGGGGCUAAACCAUGCACCGAAGCUGCGGCAGCGAACGUAUCACUUAAAGCGAUUCAGCGGGUUACGAUUGACGGAGCGAAGCGACGUCAAAGCGUAUACAAAGUCGAGUCGGUUUAAGGAUACGUUCGUUGGGUAGGGGAGCGUUCUGUAAGCCUGUGAAGGUGUGUCGUGAGGCAUGCUGGAGGUAUCAGAAGUGCGAAUGCUGACAUAAGUAACGAUAAAGCGGGUGAAAAGCCCGCUCGCCGGAAGACCAAGGGUUCCUGUCCAACGUUAAUCGGGGCAGGGUGAGUCGACCCCUAAGGCGAGGCCGAAAGGCGUAGUCGAUGGGAAACGGGUUAAUAUUCCCGUACUUGGUGUUACUGCGAAGGGGGGACGGAGAAGGCUAUGUUGGCCGGGCGACGGUUGUCCCGGUUUAAGCGUGUAGGUGUGUGUUCCAGGUAAAUCCGGUUCACUUUAACACUGAGGCGUGAUGACGAGGCACUACGGUGCUGAAGCAACAAAUGCCCUGCUUCCAGGAAAAGCCUCUAAGCAUCAGGUAACAUCAAAUCGUACCCCAAACCGACACAGGUGGUCAGGUAGAGAAUACCAAGGCGCUUGAGAGAACUCGGGUGAAGGAACUAGGCAAAAUGGUGCCGUAACUUCGGGAGAAGGCACGCUGACAUGUAGGUGAAGUGAUUUACUCAUGGAGCUGAAGUCAGUCGAAGAUACCAGCUGGCUGCAACUGUUUAUUAAAAACACAGCACUGUGCAAACACGAAAGUGGACGUAUACGGUGUGACGCCUGCCCGGUGCCGGAAGGUUAAUUGAUGGGGUCAGCGCAAGCGAAGCUCCUGAUCGAAGCCCCGGUAAACGGCGGCCGUAACUAUAACGGUCCUAAGGUAGCGAAAUUCCUUGUCGGGUAAGUUCCGACCUGCACGAAUGGCGUAAUGAUGGCCAGGCUGUCUCCACCCGAGACUCAGUGAAAUUGAACUCGCUGUGAAGAUGCAGUGUACCCGCGGCAAGACGGAAAGACCCCGUGAACCUUUACUAUAGCUUGACACUGAACAUUGAGCCUUGAUGUGUAGGAUAGGUGGGAGGCUUUGAAGCGUGGACGCCAGUCUGCGUGGAGCCGACCUUGAAAUACCACCCUUUAAUGUUUGAUGUUCUAACGUGGACCCGUAAUCCGGGUUGCGGACAGUGUCUGGUGGGUAGUUUGACUGGGGCGGUCUCCUCCUAAAGAGUAACGGAGGAGCACGAAGGUUGGCUAAUCCUGGUCGGACAUCAGGAGGUUAGUGCAAUGGCAUAAGCCAGCUUGACUGCGAGCGUGACGGCGCGAGCAGGUGCGAAAAGCAGGUCAUAGUGAUCCGGUGGUUCUGAAUGGAAGGGCCAUCGCUCAACGGAUAAAAAGGUACUCCGGGGAUAACAGGCUGAUACCGCCCAAGAGUUCAUAUCGACGGCGGUGUUUGGCACCUCGAUGUCGGCUCAUCACAUCCUGGGGCUGAAGUAGGUCCCCAAGGGUAUGGCUGUUCGCCAUUUAAAGUGGUACGCGAGCUGGGUUUAGAACGUCGUGAGACAGUUCGAUUCCUAUCUGCCGUGGGCGCUGGAGAACUGAGGGGGGCUGCUCCUAGUACGAGAGGACCGGAGUGGACGCAUCACUGGUGUUCGGGUUGUCAUGCCAAUGGCACUGCCCGGUAGCUAAAUGCGGAAGAGAUAAGUGCUGAAAGCAUCUAAGCACGAAACUUGCCCCGAGAUGAGUUCUCCCUGAGACUUAGAGUCUCCUGAAGGAACGUUGAAGACGACGACGUUGAUAGGCCGGGUGUGUAAGCGCAGCGAUGCGUUGAGCUAACCGGUACUAAUGAACCGUGAGGCUUAACCUU